rnacentral:rRNA from 1 species
GUAACACGUUUCCCGUAGGUGAACCUGCGGAAGGAUCAUUA